rnacentral:rRNA from 1 species
UACGUAGGGUGCGAGCGUUAUUCGGAUUUACUGGGCGUAAAGCGUGCGCAGGCGGCCCGUUAAGACAGGUGUGAAAUCCCUGGGCUCAACCUAGGAAUUGCGCUUGUGACUGGCGGGCUCGAGUACGGUAGAGGGGGGUGGAAUUCCUGGUGUAGCAGUGAAAUGCGUAGAGAUCAGGAGGAACACCGAUGGCGAAGGCAGCCCCCUGGGCCUGUACUGACGCUCAGGCACGAAAGCGUGGGGAGCAAACAGG